CAAAGGAGCGAUCCGGUGGCGGAUGGGCAUGCGGCGCAUUAGCUAGACGGCGGGGUGACGGCCCACCGUGGCGACGAUGCGUAGGGGUUCUGAGAGGAAGGCCCCCCACACUGGGACUGAGACACGGCCCAGACUCCUACGGGAGGCAGCAGUGAGGAAUAUUGGUCAAUGGGCGGAAGCCUGAACCAGCCAAGUCGCGUGAGGGAUUAAGGCCCUGCGGGUCGUAAACCUCUUUUGCCGGGGAGCAGUGGUCCGGACGCGUCCGGGCCGGGAGAGUACCCGGAGAAAAAGCAUCGGCUAACUCCGUGCCAGCAGCCGCGGUAAUACGGAGGAUGCGAGCGUUAUCCGGAUUUAUUGGGUUUAAAGGGUGCGUAGGCGGGCAUUUAAGCCGGCGGUCAAAUGUCGGGGCUCAACCCCGGCCUGCCGUCGGAACUGGGUGCCUUGAGUGGGCGAGAAGUAUGCGGAAUGCGUGGUGUAGCGGUGAAAUGCAUAGAUAUCACGCAGAACCCCGAUUGCGAAGGCAGCAUACCGGCGCCCGACUGACGCUGAGGCACGAAAGUGCGGGUAUCGAACAGGAUUAGAUACCCUGGUAGUCCGCACAGU
rnacentral:rRNA from 1 species